GGUGGCUCAAUGGUAGAGCGUUUGCUUUGAAUGCAUGAGGCCCAGGGUUUGAUUCCUCAGCACCA
rnacentral:tRNA from 1 species